AGGACCAUAGCCAAGCGGUAAGGCAAUUGGCUCUGACCCAAUGAUCGGAGGUUCGAAUCCUCCUGGUCCUG
rnacentral:tRNA from 1 species